rnacentral:lncRNA from 1 species
CCUCUACCUUUCCAUCGACUCUAUAUAAAAUCACUAGAGCCUAUAGCUUAACUAAAAGAAAAAGAAAUUGUAAGGAUAAUAUUGAGCAAUUUUGACAUGCCUACUCUAGGCAUGUCUUUGUUUCUUUAAGCUCUCCAGGUACUUACCUCUGAACUCUUUUAAGGUUCCUUUGUUAGCAAUAAUUUGAUCAAUUUAGAUAAGAUGCAAAAAUGAUCAUUUAUAUGGUAGUUUACCAUAAAUUAUCCAUAUAAACUAAUUAGAGAUCGCAGGAUCAAAUCUAUAAGUAAUUUCUUGUGCAUGGUCAUAUCGAGCUUUUUAAGCUCCUUAAUAUCUUUGAUCAUUAUCAAAUAACAAUCAUAGACUGUCUGCCCAUCAUGCAUCACAUGCACUGUGCGACUCUGAUCACCUCACAAUACUUGUAGAUGAAUCAAUGUAUCGUUGGCAGUAAACAUGUGCUUAUGCAUAUGCUGGAGUUUAUCUAUCAUGGACUUCAACAUAUAGCACCUAUCUUUAUUGUCAUUGUCCAUCCAUUCAUCAAGUAUAGCUCAUUGACUUUGGGUUAGACAGGUUAUUAACAUCAGAAUAAUCCUGCUAGAGAAUAUUACUUAAUUUCUAAAAUUAAGAAUGAUUCUUAAGUUUGUGAGCUAGUCUAUAUAAUUGAUUUUGAUUAAUCGGUUGAUAUCUAGGAUUUGAGCUAGAGGGUUAGAAGCCGACACAAUAAACAGCAGAGAAUAAAGAUUUUAAUUGAAUAUUUAUACUUAUUUUUUAUAAUUUAUUUUAGAGAUUUUUAGAUACAAAAAGAGACUCCCACUAUUUUAUCAGAUCUCCCACACUCUUUGGGUGGGAAACUAAAAAUCCUAACAUGAUAACUGGAUUUCUAGUGGGUGCUGCGGUCCCACCGAUAUCGUGCACUUCACCUAACAGUUAUUGGUAAUAUAAAUGAACAUCGAUGCGUGGAUAACUCUUUAUCCAGAUGCUUCUCUAAGCAUGUUGUAGCAACUUGGUCUCUAAGUCAUGUGAGCUCACCUAUCAGUUAUUGUCCAUAUUUCUUAGUUAAGUCAGACUCACCAUUCACAAGCAGGUGUAAAGCUGUCAUUGGAUCGCUCACCUAAUAGUUAUUG